GAUGAACGCUGGCGGCGUGCCUAAUACAUGCAAGUCGAGCGAACAGACGAGGAGCUUGCUCCUUUGACGUUAGCGGCGGACGGGUGAGUAACACGUGGAUAACCUACCUAUAAGACUGGGAUAACUUCGGGAAACCGGAGCUAAUACCGGAUAACAUGUUGAACCGCAUGGUUCAACAGUGAAAGACGGUCUUGCUGGCACUUAUAGAUGGAUCCGCGCCGCAUUAGCUAGUUGGUAAGGUAACGGCUUACCAAGGCAACGAUGCGUAGCCGACCUGAGAGGGUGAUCGGCCACACUGGAACUGAGACACGGUCCAGAAUCAUACGGGAGGCAGCAGUAGGGAAUCUGCCGCAAAGGGCGAAAGCCUGACGGAGCAACGCCGCGUGAGUGAAGAAGGUCUUCGGAUCGUAAAACUCUGUUAUUAGGGAAGAACAAAUGUGUAAGUAACUAUGCACGUCUUGACGGUACCUAAUCAGAAAGCCACGGCUAACUACGUG
rnacentral:rRNA from 1 species